rnacentral:rRNA from 1 species
AGGACGAACGCUGGCGGCGUGCUUAACACAUGCAAGUCGAGCGGAAAGGCCCUUCGGGGUACUCGAGCGGCGAACGGGUGAGUAACACGUGAGCAAUCUGCCCUUAGCUUCGGGAUAGCCCCGGGAAACCGGGAUUAAUACCGAAUAUGACCUCGGCCGACAUCGGCCUUGGUGGAAAGUUUUUCGGCUAGGGAUGAACUCGCGGCCUAUCAGCUUGUUGGUGGGGUAAUGGCCUACCAAGGCGACGACGGGUAGCCGGCCUGAGAGGGCGACCGGCCACACUGGGACUGAGACACGGCCCAGACUCCUACGGGAGGCAGCAGUGGGGAAUAUUGCGCAAUGGGCGAAAGCCUGACGCAGCGACGCCGCGUGGGGGAUGAAGGCCUUCGGGUUGUAAACCCCUUUCAGCAGGGACGAAGCGAGAGUGACGGUACCGUGCAGAAGAAGCGCCGGCUAACUACGCGCCAGCAGCCGC